rnacentral:rRNA from 1 species
AGCGGAGGAAAAGAAACCAACAGGGAUUGCCUUAGUAACGGCGAGUGAAGCGGCAAAAGCUCAAAUUUGAAAUCUGGCACCUUCGGUGUCCGAGUUGUAAUUUGAAGAAGGUAACUUUGGAGUUGGCUCUUGUCUAUGUUCCUUGGAACAGGACGUCACAGAGGGUGAGAAUCCCGUGCGAUGAGAUGCCCAAUUCUAUGUAAAGUGCUUUCGAAGAGUCGAGUUGUUUGGGAAUGCAGCUCUAAGUGGGUGGUAAAUUCCAUCUAAAGCUAAAUAUUGGCGAGAGACCGAUAGCGAACAAGUACAGUGAUGGAAAGAUGAAAAGAACUUUGAAAAGAGAGUGAAAAAGUACGUGAAAUUGUUGAAAGGGAAGGGCUUGAGAUCAGACUUGGUAUUUUGCGAUCCUUUCCUUCUUGGUUGGGUUCCUCGCAGCUUACUGGGCCAGCAUCGGUUUGGAUGGUAGGAUAAUGACUAAGGAAUGUGGCUCUACUUCGGUGGAGUGUUAUAGCCUUGGUUGAUACUGCCUGUCUAGACCGAGGACUGCGUCUUUUGACUAGGAUGUUGGCAUAAUGAUCUUAAGCCACCCGUCUUGAAACACG